rnacentral:misc_RNA from 1 species
GUCGUAACAAGGUUUCCGUAGGUGAACCUGCGGAAGGAUCAUUACCGAGUGCGGGCUGCCUCCGGGCGCCCAACCUCCCACCCUUGACUACCUAACACUGUUGCUUCGGCGGGGAGCCCUCUCGGGGGCGAGCCGCCGGGGACUACUGAACUUCAUGCCUGAGAGUGAUGCAGUCUGAGUCUGAAUAUAAAAUCAGUCAAAACUUUCAACAAUGGAUCUCUUGGUUCCGGCAUCGAUGAAGAACGCAGCGAACUGCGAUAAGUAAUGUGAAUUGCAGAAUUCAGUGAAUCAUCGAGUCUUUGAACGCACAUUGCGCCCCCUGGCAUUCCGGGGGGCAUGCCUGUCCGAGCGUCAUUGCUGCCCAUCAAGCCCGGCUUGUGUGUUGGGUCGUCGUCCCCCCCGGGGGACGGGCCCGAAAGGCAGCGGCGGCACCGUGUCCGGUCCUCGAGCGUAUGGGGCUUUGUCACCCGCUCGAUUAGGGCCGGCCGGGCGCCAGCCGACGUCUCCAACCAUUUUUUUCAGGUUGACCUCGGAUCAGGUAGGGAUACCCGCUGAACUUAAGCAUAUCAAUAAGCGGAGGAAAAGAAACCAACCGGGAUUGCCCCAGUAACGGCGAGUGAAGCGGCAAGAGCUCAAAUUUGAAAUCUGGCCCCUCCGGGGUCCGAGUUGUAAUUUGCAGAGGAUGCUUCGGGUGCGGCCCCUGUCUAAGUGCCCUGGAACGGGCCGUCAGAGAGGGUGAGAAUCCCGUCUUGGGCAGGGUGCCCGUGCCCGUGUGAAGCUCCUUCGACGAGUCGAGUUGUUUGGGAAUGCAGCUCUAAAUGGGUGGUAAAUUUCAUCUAAAGCUAAAUACCGGCCGGAGACCGAUAGCGCACAAGUAGAGUGAUCGAAAGAUGAAAAGCACUUUGAAAAGAGAGU